rnacentral:rRNA from 1 species
UACGUAGGGUGCAGGCGUUAAUCGGAAUUACUGGGCGUAAAGCGUGCGCAGGCGGCUCCUUAAGUCAGAUGUGAAAUCCCCGGGCUUAACCUGGGAACUGCGUUUGAAACUGGGGAGCUGGAGUGUAGAAGAGGGUAGUGGAAUUCCAGGUGUAGUGGUGAAAUACGUAGAUAUCUGGAGGAACACCGGUGGCGAAGGCGGCUACCUGGCCCAACAUUGACGCUGAGACCCGAAAGCAUGGGGAUCAAACAGG